rnacentral:rRNA from 1 species
UACAGAGGUCUCAAGCGUUGUUCGGAAUCACUGGGCGUAAAGGGUGCGUAGGCGGCAUGGUAAGUCAGAGGUGAAAUCCCGGAGCUCAACUUCGGAAUUGCCUCCGAUACUGCCAUGCUUGAGGACUGGAGAGGAGAUUGGAAUUCACAGUGGAGCAGUGAAAUGCGUUGAUAUUGUGAGGAACACUAGUGGCGAAGGCGAAUCUCUGGACAGUUCCUGACGCUGAGGCACGAAGGCCAGGGGAGCAAACGGG